rnacentral:rRNA from 1 species
CGUGGUAGACGACCACGUUGAUAGGCCGGAGGUGGAAGCACGGCAACGUGUGCAGCCGACCGGUACUAAUCGGCCGAGGGCUUGGAUUU